UCGAGAAUUUUUCACAAUGGGGGAAACCCUGAUGGAGCGACGCCGCGUGGAGGAUGAAGGCGUUUUCGUUGUAAACUCCUGUCAAACGGGAACAAGAAAGUGAUAGUACCGUUAGAGGAAGAGACGGCUAACUCUGUGCCAGCAGCCGCGGUAAUACAGAGGUCUCAAGCGUUGUUCGGAUUCAUUGGGCGUAAAGGGUGCGUAGGUGGCUUGUUAAGUUGAAGGUGAAAUCUCGGGGCUCAACUCCGAAACUACCUUCAAUACUGGCGAGCUCGAGGACUGUAGAGGAGAAUGGAAUUCACGGUGUAGCAGUGAAAUGCGUAGAUAUCGUGAGGAAGACCAGUGGCGAAGGCGAUUCUCUGGGCAGUUCCUGACACUGAGGCACGAAGGCCAGGGGAGCAAACGGG
rnacentral:rRNA from 1 species